AUAUAGGUAAUUUGUCAACAUUAAAGUUCGCUCUAAGAAGAAAUUCUAAACCUCCAAUUUUCUUGAAUAAGGCAUUUGGAAUACAAUGCCAAAAGAAGUUGCUGUGUUUGAUCCAAGAUUUUACCCAAUUUAUUUUUAAGGUUCCAUUAAGGCAGUCAAAAUCAAUAACUUUGAGUCCUCCAUCCUUUGUGUCUUUAACCAUACUGCUCUUCUUCAUAUAAUGUGGUCUAUUUCUCCAAAUGAAAUUUAAAUUGAUUUGGUUGAUAGAUUUAAUCAAUUUGUUUGGAAUGGCAUUGGAAUAGGCUGGGUAAAUACAUCUCGAUAAACAUUCCAUCUUAGUUAGGUAAAUUCGACCUAGUAUUGAUAAGUCCCUCUGUAGCCAUAUAUUUAGUCUUGACUUGCAUUCUUUAAUUUUAUUUUCUACAUUCAGAAGUUUUAAUUUCUGAUUUAAUAGGGAUAUUACAGAUGUCUUUCAGUAGAGUGUCGUGUACAGCCAGCAAUUCACACUUUUUUAAGUUUAAUGUUAGGCCUAAUGCUUUGGAGAAUGUUUCGAUUUUGGCAAUAGUUGUUUAAAUUUGGUAUCUUUUAAGAAUAUUGUUGUGUCAUCUGCUAGUUGGCUGAGUAUAAUGUCUGUUCCAAGUACAUUAAGUUUUUUAAUAUCAUUACAGUUUUUAAUAUAGAUUGCUAGCAAUCUGUGGCUAAGAUGAACAGGUAUGGUGAGAUUUGGCAACGUUGAGGAAUACCCACAUUAACCUUGAAUCUCAGUCCACUGAUGAUGGUAGUGUUAUUUACGCAACCCAACCCACAACCCUCAACCCACCAGCCAUUGCUUUGACUCACCGCGUCAAGUGCAUCAUGGGAAUGAUAAGCGUAAACAACACUACUAUCAUCAGUGGGCUGAGAUCGGUGACAGCAAACAAGAGGACCCCCUGGCAUACAGCUGUAUGUUUCAGUGAAGGUGGUGGUGCUGAAUGGUGUCUGCCUAAACAAGUACAGGUGUCGGCGAGGCAGUAACUCCUUGGAGGGCUUGCACUCACACCUGUACAAUGCCAUUCCCCACAGAGAUGUGGAGUUAUGCCAUUCCAAGUGUAUCUGAUUGCAUUUGCUGUGCAGUGGAACAGCCGCAUGGAAUCACUCCGGGUUGCUGGUGGUCAUGGCAGUCAGACGUGGUGUAUGGACCCGCGGCAGAUUCAGCAGGCUGAGGUGCUCUUCGGUAAAGAGCAUGUCCUCAAGCCCAACUUUGCCGCUCCAAUGCCCUACCCUGCUGUAUACAAGGACCCAGAUGAGGAGGAGCUCCUUGGAGUAGAGUAUGCCACGUGCCAGUCAACCAGCUUAACUCCAAGGGAUUACUAUGCCCAGUAAGGUACAAAAUCUUGCAUUAUAACAAUAUACAUACAUACUAAGUGGUCAAAUACCUAUAAAUAUCAUGCAUAUCAAAGUUAUUGAUUUUGACUGCCUUAAUGGAACCUUAAAAAUAAAUUGGGUAAAAUCUUGGAUCAAACACAGCAACUUCUUUUGGCAUUGUAUUCCAAAUGCCUUAUUCAAGAAAAUUGGAGGUUUAGAAUUUCUUCUUAGAGCGAACUUUAAUGUUGACAAAUUACCUAUAUCAUUGUCAGAGUUUCAUAGACAAAUACUCUUGUAUUGGAAAAUUUUAUAUGUACAUAACUUCUCACCCCACACCAUGUGUUUUGCACCGCAACAGAUCUCUGUUCUUUGAAGAUUGGUAUGGGAGAAAUAUAUGGUCCAUAGCUGACUUAAUGGAUACCAACGGACAAUUUUUAAAUUAUGAACAAUUUUGCAUCAAGCAUAAUUUCAAACCCUUAAAAUCAGACUUUACUAAAUUACAUAGAACACUACCCCAAGAAUUUGACUUUCUAACACUUUGGCAUAUCAUCCAAUACAACCACAAUUGGGCCCACUAUCAAUUCAAGGAAUCUUUGUUCUGGAUAGAAAAUGCACUAACCACUUUAUUAGAAAUUGUUUUACUGAAUACCUUUACCCUGAAAGACAAAAUAAAAACAACAUCCUACAAAAUUUGAUAAAGAUUCAAUUACUAAAUUAAGAACAACAUCUAACACUCCUUAUACCCCCCAAAAUGAAAGAAACGUAAUGAACACCAUUUACCCCUCUAAAGAAUUACUUAGACUUCGCUUUGGUAUAGAUGAUAACGAUGAUAACACAUGUACAUUUUGUGAAAGUGAUAUCGAAACUACAGACCAUGUGUUUUUCUCAUGUAAUGUGAUACAGACAUUUUGGUGUGAUAUACAUAAAUGAGUUUAAACAUAAACAUUUGGAUUGAUAUUGCAAAGCAAGGGUGAUGAGCUCAGUAGUAAUAGCUAAUUUUUUCAUUCACAAAUGUAGAAUUGUGAAGUCUACUCCCAAAUUUGUUGUUUUUUUAAAUUAAUUUAAAUUAUAUAUAAAAUCCUCAAAAACGCUGAAAAGUCCUAAAGCAAAAAAAUAUAUGAUACCCUAAAACACUUCCCAACUGAGGUAGGUGAAGAUACCAACGAUGGUCGUUCAGUCUCGGCCUCGGUAGUACUAACGACUGUAAUGACUGUCGUUACAACAGCCAGGAACACUAACGAACCAGCGGUAUCAACGAUCCUGGCAAACGACCCCACUGAGGUUAAAUAGCUGAGUUUCCCUGCCAGUCAGUCAGAACUGAAGAAGUCCUUUGGAUGAGGGACGAAAGGUCUUCCAGUAUCUUCAACCAAGUCCAGUUGCCCUUGACUUUAACCUUUGUUGGAUUUUAAAAGCAUUAAUCGUUAAUCAUUGCCGCUCCAAUGCCCUACCCUGCUGUAUACAAGGACCCAGAUGAGGAGGAGCUCCUUGGAGUAGAGUAUGCCACGUGCCAGUCAACCAGCUUAACUCCAAGGGAUUACUAUGCCCAGUAAGUUGAGGAAGAGCAGUCCCGUGAAGAAGAGGAGACGGCUGAACAAAGUGAGGACGAGCUGGCAGAUGAGGGUGUGGUCGUGGGUGCAGAGUCAGAGCAGGAUCCUAUGGACACUGUCAGUGACAAACAUGUCAUCCUCACUCAAUCAGAACAGGUGGAGGAGAAGGACAGUCCUGCUCUGCAGGAUGUGCUGAUGACCCAGAGCCAUCUGCAUCUUCCUGGGCUGGAGAAGCCUUGGCCCUGCUCCUUUUAGAACUGGCAGACAACAGUCACCUAGUGCCAGCUGACCUAAGGCUGAAGAUUGGCGAUUCAAGGCCAUCUCUACAUUCAUGGCACGGGAAGAGAAGAAGGCUAACUACAGGGCCAAAGGUGAAACCCCACCAAAGAGUGCUGUCAGAAGAACCAAUGCCAGCAGCUCCUACUCUGCCAGAAUCCCUACCAGCUCCAGAUCGACCUCAGGUUCAGUACCAGAGCCUACGUCAUGCAGCUGGGAAAAGGUAUGGUCAGAAGCGGAGGUAAGUUGUCCAGUUCUUCAUUUCACAAGUAUGUGACUUUAUUACAAUAUGUGAACAUAUCUGAAUUUAUCAGCUGGAUGGUUUGAACUUAAACACAACAAACCAUGUGAAUUGAUAGUCAUACACAUUGAUUCUCAUGAAUUAUAGUCAUCAUCACGUGUAUGAUUUAUAUUUGCAGUGUAGAUGUGGAAGAGCCGGAGCUUGUGAACCGGCCCAUUCAAGAUAAACCCCCUGUGGCCACGUACAUCCCACCCAGAGCGUCAGCAACACCUGUCCUGGUAGUGGUUCCUGCACAGCCACAGGGACCAUCCAUGAUGCUCUGUGGGGCAUCCAGCAGUAAAGGCUUCAUACCUUUCGCACCGCCUCCUGCGCUGAGAUCCAGACCAAUCAAGCCUCAUAAAUCCACAAAGCCUUGUGGAGCCUGCCAAGUAUCCCAGUGUGGUGGGCAGCGUAAGAGGUACACGCCCUCCAAAGACAAGGCUGCUGAAAGUAGCCAAAAAAUAUUUACCUAUUGCCUAGCAACUAGGAAGUCAACCACUUCAGGUUUUGAAGGUGUUGUGUUCAACAGUUUUGAACACUUCAAAAAUGUAGUAGAUGAGGAACUCAAAAAGAAAAGAAAAAAAACAACUAGAGAGCCAACUACAUCUGCAACUACAUCCCCCAAAUCACAAUAGCAGAUUUCUGGGCUAUGGUUUGGACCUGGUUCAGGCCUGGAUUAGACCUAGUUAAGAUUUUGCCCUAGUUUGGAAUUGAUUUAGACCUGGUUUAAUCCCAGUUGUAUUUACCUAAUUUGGUCCUGGAUUAGACAUGGUGUGGGUUAGUCAGAAUUACCUGUGCACAGAGAUUUACAUGUCCUCAACAUUAUUUGCACUUUGUGGGUUACAAUGUAAUUUAAUUUGCCAUGUUAUUUAUAUUCUUAUAAUAAGACUAAAAUAUAAUAAGUCAUAUUGGCUACAAUAUCUGCCUCUUAUCUGGUAUCAAAUCAGACAGUGGAAAAAAAGUGAGUUAGUGAAUGUAAAUAUCUGCUUAACAUUGCAUACUAUUGCACUGCAUUACCUCAUUGCCUUGUAUAUAUUGUACGUAUAUUGUGUAUUGCUCAAUGUGUACAUGUAUAAAUCUUGUAAAUAUUGAUAAAAAUCCUGUAAAGUAAAUUAGUAACUAAUUUGCUAUAUUUUCUGCUAAAUUACUUAAUAAUUAAUGUUAAUUCUAUUGUUUAGCUUGUUACCUAUGUUAUUAUUAUUAUAGUUGUUGUUUAUUUUUUUCUGAUAUGUAGAUAUACAGUAUAUAUAUAUUGUUGAACAGAUAAAAAAAAAAAGAAUGUUUCCAAAUAUAUGAUUCCUCUCACUGCGGUUUCCCCAUUUGUCCACUAGAUACAGCUAAAGUCACAUGAAACUGUAUUGAGUAUAACAGAGGCUGAAUAACUUACCAGUAAGGUAAAGGUAAAGUCUUUUUCUAAAAUUCCAUUAAGGCACUUUUAUGUGUACAUUUUACAUGCUCCCUACAGGGCGAAUAGGGCCUAUAGAGUGAAUAAUAUCUCAGAUAUGAGCAAAUUACACUUUGUUCAAGUAGCCUAAUAUAGUUUCUUAGAUUUUUUCAGUGAUCUUGCAAACAUUGUAACUAAAAGUCUCAAGUUUAUUUGUAAAGUGCAUCCAUUCAUACUUCAAACAGAUAUGAGCAAACACAUUUGUUACAUUACUUGUUUUUUAUUGUUAUAAUUGAAGCAAUAUGUUUGUUACAUUACGUGACAGACAUCAUAGUAUACUUAAUAUUUGGAGAGUACUCACAUAUGACUGAGUUUAAAGGAGCUAUAAAAAAAAAACAUAGUUAAAACUCAAAAUUGAACUCAUAUGAUCAACACAACGUGCUUAAUCACAGUCACGUUAUGUCAAAGACAUCUAUGUAUUAUGUUUCAGAGAUAUCUACUGAAGGUUGCAUACUAGCCUCAGGCUGUCCUGUCUAGUACCGUUGCUUACCUCAAGAUGCGAUAGUGUCAAUGUUGAGUCUGUCAAUGUCGCCCUCAGUUCCACAACAUCGAGGUGGUUUUCUUGGCACCUGGAUGCUCAGCCUCUGCAAAUGGGCACUGACUGAUGUUCCCUCUCGUUCCUCUCCUGCUGUGUCUUUGGGUGCAUCCCUAGUCUGGUAAUCGCCUCCACCAUUCCCUCAAUGAGAUGCAACAGACCUGGGCCCCGUUUCAGAAAGUGGGAUUAGUGAAAAGCCAGGAAGAUAGGUCCCGGAAAAAAAGACAAUGUCAAUAAAGCUGAACUCUUUUGAAGGCGGCCACAAACCAGCUGGUUGUCACAUAAAAGAUCCAUCCAUCCAUCCAUCCAUCGUCAACCGCUUAUCCUGCGUACAGGGUCGCGGGGGGGCUGGAGCCAAUCCCAGCUGACAUCAGGCGAAAGGCGGGGUACACCCUGGACAGGUCGUCAGUCCAUAGCAGGGCCACAGAUAGACAAAGAACCACUCACGCUCACACUCACACCUAAGGAUAAUUUAGGGUCACCAAUCCACUUAGGCCGCAUGUCUUUGGACGGUGGGAGGAAGCCGGAGCACCCAGAGAGAACCCACGCAGACACGGGGAGAACAUCACAUAAAAGAUGCUAAACCUAAAUUAUGAAAAGAAAUUAUCACCAUGAGGUUCACAAUUCAGUGAGCUGAGGAAAACUGAGUGGACUUAGUAGAUAGUUUUACAAUCAGUUUAAAGCAAAUUUUAUAUCUGUGGACUUUAUAUAUCUCGCUUAUAUUCUGUCAGCUCUCAAACAUGGCCAACGUGCAUGUAACUGGACUUUCCGUUCCUCCCUCUCAGUUAAAACUGUCCUCCUGGUGUUGCAGUUAAACCGGCUUGUUAUUGUCGGGGCAGUGGUGCAGCCUGUUUGGAAAAAUGUGUUAGUUUUGUAUCAGACAUAUACUGUGUACUAAAAGCUUUUACUACUAGUAAAUCAAGUUUAAUUUAUUAAAAUUUACAUCAUCUCCAGGUGGUUCUCGUUUUGGCUCCUGGUCUGAUUUUAUUCUGUUACUUGGUCCACCUCGUCGUCAU